rnacentral:lncRNA from 1 species
UCCGCGCGAGCGCCUGGCGGAUGUGCUUGGCGGGCGACGGCGGCGGGAAGGGCAGGCGCAGGAGGCGCCUGGCCGGGGUGUUGGACGCGGGCGCCGGGGACUUGGAUGAGGCCGUCCGCGGGGAGGCCGCGGAGGAGGAGAAGAGGUGGUGCGCCGGGCUGGGGCUCGGCGUGGAGAAGGGGAAGAAGGGUGAGGACGUCCAGUGCUUCUUGGAGGCGGGCGUGGCGGAGGAUGCCGGCGGGGGCGUGGCCGGCGCGGCUGGCGGCGGGUCGGCGUCGUGGGUGAGCGGCUUGGCGUGGCAGCCCCCCAUGGAGCUGGGUAGGAUCUGGAUCGCGCUGGUGGCGGUGGGGCGCUAGGAGGAGGAAGAGUAGGCGGCCAUGGCGGAGGGAGGAGAGAGAGAGAGAGAGAGAGAGAGAGAGAGAGAGAGAGCUUUUAGCUGGAGUGUGGGGACUGGACUGGAGUGCGGAGGUAGUGAAUUGAAACGGUGAAGGUGGAGAUGGAGUAAUGGUGGCCCGAGCCCGAGCCGAGGGUNNNNNNNNNNNNNNNNNNNNNNNNNNNNNNNNNNNNNNNNNNNNNNNNNNNNNNNNNNNNNNNNNNNNNNNNNNNNNNNNNNNNNNNNNNNNNNNNNNNNAGUCACAAGUACCUGCACAAACACAAAGAACUUGCACCCAACGCUAUGAAGGGGUUGUCAAUCCCUUAUAGAUUGUUUGCAAAGUGAGAACUGAAAGCAAAAAGUAAACAAAGCAAAGUAAAAGUGAAAGCUGAGAUGAUAAUUGUGAAUAGACCCGGGGGCCGUAGUGUUCACUUGUGGCUUCUCUCAUGAAAGCAAGUAGACGGAGGGUGAACGAAUUACUGUCGAGCAAUUGAUAGAACCGCGCAAAGUCAUGACGUUAUCUAUGGCAAUGAUCAUANNNNNNNNNNCAAAGUGAAAGCUGAAAUGAUAAUUGUGAAUAGGCCCGGGGGCCGUAGUGUUCACUAGUGGCUUCUCUCAUGAAAGCAAGUAGACGGAGGGUUGAUAGAACCGCGCAAAGUCAUGACGUUAUCUAUGGCAAUGAUCAUACAUAUAGGCAUCACGUCCAAAACAAGUAGACCGAUACUUUCUGCAUCUACUACUAUUACUCCACACGUCGACCGCUAUCCAGCAUGCAUCUAGUGUAUUGACUUCAUAAGAACAGAGUAACGCCUUAAGCAAUAUGACAUGAUGUAGAUGGACAAUCUCAAAUCUAUGAUGAAAGCCCAUCUUGUUACCCUUGAUGGCAACAACACGAUGCGUGCCUUGCUGCCUUUUCUGUCACUUGAANNNNNNNNNNNNNNNNNNNNNNNNNNNNNNNNNNNNNNNNNNNNNNNNNNNNNNNNNNNNNNNNNNNNNNNNNNNNNNNNNNNNNNNNNNNNNNNNNNNNAGGAGGCAGCCUCAAAACCUAAAGGUUUGGCCGAAAUUGGAGGUGGAGGAGUCCUACUCCAAUCCUACUUGGAGUAGGAUUCCACCUUCCCACUUGGNNNNNNNNNNAUAUGUGGUCGGGCUGCCGUGGCAAAGUUGUCUCAAAUCAGCCCUAAAACCUCCGUAUAUAUAGGGGGAAGAGGGGGAGCCUUGCCUUGGGGUCCAAGGACCCUCAAGGGGGUCGGCCGAGCCAAGGGGGGGGGGAGUCCUCCCCUUCCAAACCGAAUCCAACUAGGUUUGGAAGGAGGAGUCCUUCCCCCUUUUCCCACCUCCUCUUUUUUUUCUUUUCUCUUUGAUUUUCUUCCUAUGGUGCAUAGAGCCUUCUUGGGCUGUCCCACCAGCCCACUAAGGGCUGGUGCGCCACCCACAAGGCCUAUGGGCUUCCCCGGGGUGGGUUCCCCCCUGGUGAACACCCGGAACCCAUUCGUCAUUCCCGGUACAUUCCCGGUAACUCCGAAAACCUUCCGGUAAUCAAAUGAGGUCAUCCUAUAUAUCAAUCUUCGUUUCCGGACCAUUCCGGAAACCCUCAUGACGUCCGUGAUCUCAUUCGGGACUCCAAACAACAUUCGGUAACCAACCAUAUAACUAAAAUACGCAUAAAACAACGUCGAACCUUAAGUGUGCACACCCUGCGGGUUCGAGAACUAUGUAGACAUGACCCGAGUGACUCCUCGGUCAAUAUCCAAUCGCGGGACCUGGAUGCCCAUAUUGGAUCCCACAUAUUCUACGAAGAUCUUAUCGUUUGAACCUCAGUGCCAAGGAUUCAUAUAAUCCCGNNNNNNNNNNNNNNNNNNNNNNNNNNNNNNNNNNNNNNNNNNNNNNNNNNNNNNNNNNNNNNNNNNNNNNNNNNNNNNNNNNNNNNNNNNNNNNNNNNNNACCGCCCCCCGCCGUAGUCCCCAUCCCCCGCCACGCGCCGCCGCAGCCGUCCCCUGCCAGGGCCCGCCGCAGACGGCCCAUGCCGCGUGCUGCUGCGCGCCGCCCCCACCCGCUGUAGCCGGCACCCGUCGUGGCGCCGCAAACGCCCCUCCGUUGUGCGCCUUCCCCACCCCUGCAGAUCGAGCAGUGGUUGACGUGCUGAGGGAGACGGAGGCUGCGGCGCAGCGGAAGCGGAAGCGGAGAGGCGCGGGGCUGCGGCUGUUGGACAUCACGGAGGGGAGAGAAAGACAUCCGCGCCUCACCAUCCCGCUCCUCCGCCACAUCCUGCGCCACGCCCACCCCUUCCGCCCCGACGCCUUCACCUUCCCGCCGCUCAUCCGCGCGGCCCCGACGCCUUCACCUUCCCGCCGCUCAUCCGCGCGGCCCCGACGCCUUCACCUUCUCGCCGCUCAUCCGUGCGGCCCCGACGCCUUCACCUUCCCGCCGCUCAUCCGCGCGGCCCCGGUGCACGCCUCCGCGGCGCAGCUCCACGCCUGCGCGACACCGACAAGGUUGCUGUCUCCUGCUAGAAUUUGUUCCUGAAACUGGCUAGGUGGCUAGAUUGAUUCCUGUUCUGAAUGUGUUGACACCAACAAGCUUUUUUCUCUAUCUUUUUAUUCACGAGGACCUUUCUCUUUUUGCAUAGUUAUUAGCAGAUUUAAGGCCCAAUGAUGUGAAUACAUCUAAUACCUUUGGUUAUGUGUCAGCAAAGAUUUACUUAAAUGAUCAAUUCACUAAUUAAUCAACCAGUAAAGGCUCAGUUGUUUAAUCCUACUAGAUAGAUACUCCAUUCAUCCAAUCAACUGUCAGUGUUAAUGGAUUGAUUCUCGUCCAUGUGCAAAUGCUGCUGAGGAAUAAACAAUGAUCAUGCUUAACCGGAUUAGAUGUAUUUUUGGUCUCCACCUAAGCUUGAUUUUAUGAUUCAGUGAGAUACGGCUUAAAAGCCCAAACUGGUUGUUUGGUCAAAGAAAACAUGCAGAGACAGUUCCAACAGCAAAAGUUAUUCCAGUUGAAAAUGCAAACGAGGGAAACAAAGAUGAGAUGAAUGUGUCUUUGCGUGGGGAACUGAACUGGGUUUCCUCCUCGGCAGAUUCAUGCAAGGAGGACAACUUCAGAAGGUGGUACCAGAAUAGUCCAAAUAGAUAUCCUUUGCCAGUGUUCUGAUGUCUAUCAAGCCCACAAUGUACCAUUUAUAUGUUCUAUAAAUCCUUGAAACCCUUCAUUUUGCAGGUAUCUAGCGUUCACGGCGGCGGAUGUAGACAAUGGCUGGUACAGUGGAGCACUGCUAUACGAUCAAGAUGAGAACAGCGGUGCUUAUAAACAUUACUCCGAAUUUUGCCGGGUAACCAAAACAUCCUGUUGUACUUAUGUUGUCUGCGACCGUCUUCUAAAACAUGCAAGCUAACCUGUUUAAAUGUCCUCUGGCAUUGCAGGGUCCAGUCAUGGAUCCUUUCGAGCACGACCCCGAGAAAGAAGGGCGCUACAGGGAGGCCCUUUGUGCAAAUGCUGCUGAGGAAUAAACAAUGAUCAUGCUUAACCGGAUUAGAUGUAUUUUUGGUCUCCACCUAAGCUCUAGGGGAGGUCCAACAAUCAUUACAGGUUGGUCGACCUGAGCCAGGGACCUGACUGUUGGAAUUAUGCCCUAGAGGCAAUAAUAAAUAUAGUUAUUAUUAUGAUUCCUGUAUCAAGAUAUGUUGGAAUUAUGCCCUAGAGGCAAUAAUAAAUAUAGUUAUUAUUAUAAUUCCUAUAUCAAGAUAAUAGUUUAUUAUCCGUGCUAUAAUUGUAUUGAAUGAAGACUCAUUUACAUGUGUGGAUACAUAGACAAAACACCGUCCCUAGCAUGCCUCUAGUUGGCUAGCCAGUUGAUCAAUGAUAGUCAGUGUCUUCUGAUUAUGAACAAGGUGUUGUUGCUUGAUAACUGGAUCACGUCAUUGGGAGAAUCACGUGAUGGACUAGACCCAAACUAAUAGACGUAGCAUGUUGAUCGUGUCAUUUUGUUGCUACUGUUUUCUGCGUGUCAAGUAUUUAUUCCUAUGACCAUGAGAUCAUAUAACUCACUAACACCGUAGGAAUGCUUUGUGUGUAUCAAACGUCGCAACGUUACUGGGUGACUAUAAAGAUGCUCUACAGGUAUCUCCGAAGGUGUUAGUUGAGUUAGUAUGGAUCAAGACUGGGAUUUGUCACUCCGUGUGACGGAGAGGUAUCUCGGGGCCCACUCGGUAAUACAACAUCACACACAAGCCUUGCAAGCAAUGUAACUUAGUGUAAAUUGCGGGAUCUUGUAUUACGGAACGAGUAAAGAGACUUGCCGGUAAACGAGAUUGAAAUAGGUAUGCGGAUACUGACGAUCGAAUCUCGGGCAAGUAACAUACCGAAGGACAAAGGGAAUGACAUACGGGAUUAUACGAAUCCUUGGCACUGAGGUUCAAACGAUAAGAUCUUCGUAGAAUAUGUAGGAUCCAAUAUGGGCAUCCAGGUCCCGCUAUUGGAUAUUGACCGAGGAGUCUCUCGGGUCAUGUCUACAUAGUUCUCGAACCCGCAGGGUCUGCACACUUAAGGUUCGACGUUGUUUUAUGCGUAUAUGAGUUAUAUGGUUGGUUACCGAAUGUUGUUCGGAGUCCCGGAUGAGAUCACGGACGUCAUGAGGGUUUCCGGAAUGGUCCGGAAACGAAGAUUGAUAUAUAGGAUGACCUCAUUUGAUUACCGGAAGGUUUUCGGAGUUACCGGGAAUGACGAAUGGGUUCCGGGAGUUCACCGGGGGGGCAACCCACCCCGGGGAAGCCCAUAGGCCUUGGGGGAGACACACCAGCCCUUAGUGGGCUGGUGGGACAGCCCACAAGUGCCCUAUGCGCCAAGGAGAAUAAAAUCAAGAGAGAAAGGAAAAAAAAGGAGGAGGUGGGAAGGGAGGGGGACUCCCUCCCACCAAACCUAGUCCACCUCGGUUUGGGGGGGAGAGUCCUCCCCCUUGGACUCGGCCGACCCCCUUGGGGCUCCUUGAGCCCCAAGGCAAGGCCCCCUCCCUCCCACCUAUAUAUACGGAGGUUUUAGGGCUGAUUUGAGACGACUUUUCCACGGCAGCCCGACCACAUACCUCCACGGUUUUUCCUCUAGAUCGCGUUUCUGCGGAGCUCGGGCGGAGCCCUGCUGAGACAAGGUCAUCACCAACCUCCGGAGCGCCAUCACGCUGCCAGAGAACUCUUCUACCUCUCCGUCUCUCUUGCUGGAUCAAGAAGGCCGAGAUCAUCGUCGAGUUGUACGUGUGCUGAACGCGGAGGUGCCGUCCGUUCGGUACUAGAUCGUGGGACUGAUCGCGGGAUUGUUCGCGGGGCGGAUCGAGGGACGUGAGGACGUUCCACUACAUCAACCGUGUUCUCUAACGCUUCUGCUGUACUGUCUACAAGGGUACGUAGAUCACUCAUCCCCUCUUGUAGAUGGACAUCACCAUGAUAGGUCUUCGUGCGCGUAGGAAAAUUUUUGUUUCCCAUGCGACGUUCCCCAAUAGUGGCAUCAUGAGCUAGGUUCAUGCGUAGAUGUCUUCUCGAGUAGAACACAAAAGGUUUUGUGGGCGGUGAUGUGCGUUUUGCUUCCCUCCUUAGUCUUUUCUUGAUUCCGCGGUAUUGUUGGAUUGAAGCGGCUUGGACCGACAUUACUCGUACGCUUACGAGAGACUGGUUUCAUCGUUACGAGUAACCCCCUUUGCUCAAAGAUGACUGGCAAGUGACGGUUUCUCCAACUUUAGUUGAAUCGGAUUUGACCGAGGAGGUCCUUGGAUGAGGUUAAAUAGCAACUCAUAUAUCUCCGUUGUGGUGUUUGCGUAAGUAAGAUGCGAUCCUACUAGAUACCCUUGGUCAUCACGUAAAACAUGCAACAACAAAAUUAGAGGACGUCUAACUUGUUUUUGCAGGGUAUGAUUGUGAUGUGAUAUGGCCAACGAUGUGAUGUGAUAUAUUGGAUAUAUGAGAUGAUCAUGUUGUAAUAGAAAUAUCGACUUGCACGUCGAUGGUACGGCAACCGGCAGGAGCCAUAGGGUUGUCUUUAUACUAACGUUUGUGCUUGCACAUGCGUUUACUAUUUUGCUAGGAUGUAGUUUUAGUAGUAAUAGCAUAAGUAGCACGACAACCCCGAUGGCAACACGUUGAUGGAUGAUCAUGGUGUGGCGCCGGUGACAAGAAGAUCGUGCCGGUGCUUUGGUGAUGGAGAUCAAGAAGCACGUGAUGAUGGCCAUAUCAUGUCACUUAUGAAUUGCAUGUGAUGUUAAUCCUUUUAUGCACCUUAUUUUUCUUAGAACGACGGUAGCAUUAUGAGGUGAUCUCUCACUAAAAUUUCAAGACGAAAUUGUGUUCUCCCCGACUGUGCACCAUUGCUACAGUUCGUUGUUUCGAGACACCACGUGAUGAUCGGGUGUGAUAGACUCAACGUUCACAUACAACGGGUGCAAAACAGUUGCACACGCGGAACACUCGGGUUAAGCUUGACGAGCCUAGCAUGUGCAGACAUGGCCUCGGAACAUAUGAGACCGAAAGGUCGAUCAUGAAUCACAUAGAUGAUAUGAUUAGCAUAGGGAUGCUUACCACUGAAACUAUACUCAACUCACGUGAUGAUCGGACUUGAGCUAGUGUAAGUGGAUCAUGAACCACUCAAAUGACUAGAGAGAUGUACUUUUUGAGUGGGAGUUUAGCGAAUAAUUUGAUUAAGUUAAACUCUAAUUAUCUUGAACAUAGUCUAAGUCCACUUUGAAUAUAUUUGUGUUGUAGAUCAUGGCUCACGCGACUGUCAUCCUGAAUUUUAAUACGUUCCUAGAGAAAGCUAAGUUGAAAGAUGAUGGAAGCAACUUUGUAGACUGGGCUCGUAAUCUUAAGCUAAUCUUACAAGCUGGGAAGAAGGAUUAUGUCCUUAAUGCUGCGCUAGGAGAUGAACAACCCGCUACGGCUGAUCAGGAUGUUAAGAACGCUUGGUUAGCACGUAAGGAGGACUACUCAAUAGUUCAAUGUGCAGUUUUGUAUGGCUUAGAACCGGGACUUCAACGUAGCUUUGAGCGUCAUGGAGCAUUUGAGAUGUUCCAGGAGUUGGAGUUUAUCUUUCAGAAGAACGCCCGGAUCGAGAGGUAUGAGACCUCCGAUAAAUUCUAUGCUUGCAAGAUGGAGGAAAACUCGUCUGUCAGUGAACAUGUGCUCAAAAUGUCUGGGUACUCAAACCGUCUAGCUGAGCUGGGGAUUGAACUCCCGCAAGAAGCUAUCACUGACAGAAUCCUUCAAUCACUGCCGCCAAGCUAUAAAGGCUUUGUGUUGAACUACAACAUGCAAGGGAUGAACAAGUCUCCCGGCGAGUUGUUUGCGAUGUUGAAAGUCGCAGAGUCUGAACUCCGUAAAGAGCAUCAAGUGUUGAUGGUGAGCAAGACCACUAGUUUCAAGAGAAACGGCAAAGGCAAGAAGGGCAAUUCGAAGAAGAGCGGCAAGCCUGUUGCCAAUCCGCCGAAGAAACCCAAGGCUGGACCUAAGCCUGAAACAGAGUGCUUCUAUUGCAAGGGUAUGGGUCACUGGAAGCACAAUUGCCCCAAGUAUCUGGCAGAUAAGAAGGCGGGCAAAGAAAAAUCAGGUAUAUUUGAUAUACAUGUUAUUGAUGUGUACUUAACCAGCUCUCGUAGUAGUGCCUGGGUAUUCGAUACCGGUUCUGUUGCUCAUAUUUGCAACUCGAAGCAGGAACUGCGGAAUAGACAAAGGCUGGCGAAAGACGAAGUGACGAUGCGCGUAGGAAAUGGUUCCAAGGUUGAUGCAAUCGCCGUCGGCACAGUGUCACUUCAGCUACCAUCGGGAUUAGUGAUGAACUUAAAUCAUUGUUAUUUAGUGCCUGCGUUGAGCAUGAACAUUAUAUCUGGAUCUUGUUUAUUGCGAGACGGUUACUCUUUUAAGUCUGAGAAUAAUGGUUGUUCUAUUUCUAUGAGUAACAUCUUUUAUGGUCAUGCACCGAAUGUGAGAGGAUUGUUCAUAUUGAAUCUUGAUAGCGAUAUGCAUAUACAUAACAUUGAGACCAAAAGAGUUAGAGUAAACAAUGAUAGCGCCAUAUUUUUGUGGCACUGCCGCUUGGGUCAUAUUGGUGUAAAGCGCAUGAAGAAACUCCAUGCUGAUGGACUUUUGGAGUCACUUGACUUUGAUUCACUUGACACGUGCGAACCAUGCCUCAUGGGCAAGAUGACUAAGACUCCGUUCUCCGGAACAAUGGAGCGUGCAAGUGACUUAUUGGAAAUCAUACAUACCGAUGUGUGUGGUCCAAUGAGCGUGGAGGCACGCGGCGGAUAUCGUUAUUUUCUCACCUUCACUGACGAUUUGAGUAGGUAUGGUUAUGUCUACUUGAUGAAGCACAAGUCUGAAACAUUUGAAAAGUUCAAGCAAUUUCAGAGUGAAGUGGAAAAUCAUCGUAACAAGAAGAUCAAGUUCCUACGGUCUGUUCGUGGGGGUGAAUAUCUGAGUUUCGAGUUUGGUGAUCACUUAAGAAAAUGUGGAAUUGUUUCAUAGUUGACACCGCCUGGAACACCACAGCGUAAUGGUGUGUCCGAACGUCGUAAUCGUACUCUAUUAGAGAUGGUGCGAUCUAUGAUGUCUCUUACUGAUUUGCCGUUAUCAUUUUGGGGUUAUGCAUUAGAAACGGCUGCAUUCACUUUAAAUAGGGCACCAUCAAAAUCCGUUGAGACGACACCAUACGAACUGUGGUAUGGCAAAAGGCCAAAGUUGUCGUUUCUUAAAGUUUGGGGAUGUGAUGCUUAUGUCAAAAAGCUUCAGCCUGAAAAGCUGGAACCCAAAGCGGAAAAGUGCUUCUUCAUAGGUUGCCCAAAAGAGACAGUUGGGUACACCUUCUAUCUCAAAUCCGAGGGCAAAGUGUUUGUUGCUAAAAACGGAGCUUUUCUCGAGAAGGAGUUUCUCUCGAGAGAAUUGAGUGGGAGAAAGAUAAAACUUGACGAGGUUGUCGAACCUCUCAUCCCUCUGGAUGGUGGCGCAGGGCAAGGGGAAAGCUCUGUCGUUGCGACGCCGGUUGAGGAGGAAGUUAAUGAUGAUGAUCAUGAAACUCCAGUUCCAGUUUCUGUUGAACCACGCAGGUCGACGAGAUCACGCGCUGCUCCAGAGUGGUACGGUAAUCCCGUCUUAUCAAUCAUGUUGUUAGACAACAAUGAACCUGCAAAUUAUGAAGAAGCAAUGGUGGGCCCAGAUUCCAACAAAUGGCUAGAAGCCAUGAAGUCCGAGAUAGGAUCCAUGUAUGAGAACAAAGUGUGGACUUUAGAGAUACUACCUGAGGGCCGCAAGGCUAUUCAGAACAAAUGGAUCUUUAAGAAGAAGACGGACGCUGACGGUAAUGUGACCGUUUAUAAAGCUCGACUUGUGGCAAAGGGUUUUUCACAAGUUCCAGGAGUUGACUACGAUGAGACUUUCUCACCCGUAGCGAUGCUUAAGUCCGUCAGAAUCAUGUUAGCAAUAGCUGCAUUUUUCGAUUAUGAAAUCUGGCAGAUGGAUGUCAAAACGGCGUUCCUUAACGGUUUCCUUAAGGAAGAGUUGUAUAUGAUGCAACCCGAAGGUUUUGUCGAUCCUGAGAAUGCUAACAAGGUGUGCAAGCUCCAGCGAUCCAUUUAUGGACUGGUGCAAGCAUCUCGGAGUUGGAAAAACGCUUUGAUGAGGUGAUCAAGGCAUUUGGGUUUAUACAAGUGGUUGGAGAAUCUUGUAUUUACAAGAAAGUGAGUGGGAGCUCUGUGGCGUUUCUAAUAUUAUAUGUGGAUGACAUAUUACUGAUUGGAAACAACGUAGAGCUUUUGGAGAGCAUAAAAGGUUACUUAAAUAAAAGUUUCUCUAUGAAGGACCUAGGAGAAGCUGCUUACAUUCUAGGCAUUAAGAUCUAUAGGGAUAGAUCAAAACGCAUGAUAGGACUUUCACAAAGCACAUACCUUGAUAAAGUUUUGAAGAGGUUCAAAAUGGAACAGUCCAAGAAAGGGUUCUUGCCAGUUUUACAAGGUACGAGAUUGAGUAAGACUCGGUGCCCAGCAAUUGAUGAAGAUAGAGAGCAUAUGCGCUCCGUCCCCUAUGCUUCAGCCAUAGGUUCUAUCAUGUAUGCAAUGCUGUGCACUAGACCGGAUGUUAGCCUGGCCAUAAGUAUGGCAGGUAGGUUCCAGAGUAAUCCAGGAGUGGAUCACUGGACAGCGGUCAAGAAUAUCCUGAAGUACCUGAAAAGGACUAAGGAGAUGUUUCUCGUGUAUGAAGGUGACGAAGAGCUCGCCGUAAAAGGUUACGUCGAUGCAAGCUUUGACACAGAUCCGGACGACUCUAAGUCGCAAACCGGAUACGUAUUUAUUCUUAAUGGGGGUGCAGUAAGCUGGUGCAAUUCCAAGCAAAGCGUCGUAGCAGAUUCUACAUGUGAAGCGGAGUACAUGGCUGCCUCGGAGGCGGCUAAGGAGGGUGUCUGGAUGAAGCAGUUCAUGACGGAUCUUGGAGUGGUGCCAAGCGCACUGAAUCCAAUAACCUUGUUCUGUGACAAGACUGGUGCCAUUGCCUUAGCAAAGGAACCACGGUUUCACAAGAAGACCAGACACAUCAAAUGACGCUUCAACCUCAUCCGCGACUACGUCGAAGAAGAGGACGUAAAUAUAUGCAAAGUGCACACGGAUCUGAAUGUAGCAGACCCGCUGACUAAACCUCUUCCACGGCCAAAACAUGAUCGACACCCGAACUUUAUGGGUGUUAGAUUUAUUACAAUGUAAUUCACAUGGUGAUGUGAGUGCUAGAUUAUUGACUCUAGUGCAAGUGGGAGACUGUUGGAAUUAUGCCCUAGAGGCAAUAAUAAAUAUAGUUAUUAUUAUAAUUCCUGUAUCAAGAUAAUAGUUUAAUAUCCAUGCUAUAAUUGUAUUGAAUGAAGACUCAUUUACAUGUGUGGAUACAUAGACAAAACACCGUCCCUAGCAAGCCUCUAGUUGGCUAGCCAGUUGAUCAAAGAUAGUCAGUGUCUUCUGAUUAUGAACAAGGUGUUGUUGCUUGAUAACUCGAUCACGUCAUUAGGAGAAUCACGUGAUGGACUAGACCCAAACUAAUAGAAGUAGCAUGUUGAUCGUGUCAUUUUGUUGCUACUGUUUUCUGCGUGUCAAGUAUUUAUUCCUAUGACCAUGAGAUCAUAUAACUCACUGACACCGGAGGAAUGCUUUGUGUGUAUCAAACGUCGCAACGUAACUGGGUGACUAUAAAGAUGCUCUACAGGUAUCUCCUAAGGUGUUAGUUGAGUUAGUAUGGAUCGAGACUGGGAUUUGCCACUCCGUGUGACGGAGAGGUAUCUCGGGGCCCACUCGGUAAUACAACAUCACACACAAGCCUUGCAAGCAAUGUAACUUAGUGUAAGUUGCGGGAUCUUGUAUUACGGAACGAGUAAAGAGAUUGAAAUAGGUAUACGGAUACUGACGAUCGAAUCUCGGGCAAGUAACAUACCGAAGGACAAAGGGAAUGACAUACGGGAUUAUAUGAAUCCUUGGCACUGAGGUUCAAACGAUAAGAUCUUCAUAGAAUAUGUAGGAUCCAAUAUGGGCAUCCAGGUCCCGCUAUUGGAUAUUGACCAAGGAGUCUCUCGGGUCAUGUCUACAUAGUUCUCGAACCCGCAGGGUCUGCACACUUAAGGUUCGACGUUGUUUUAUGCGUAUUUGAGUUAUAUGGUUCGUUACCGAAUGUUGUUCGGAAUCCCGGAUGAGAUCACGGACGUCACGAGGGUUUCCGGAAUGGUCCGGAAACGAAGAUUGAUAUAUAGGAUGACCUCAUUUGAUUACCGGAAGGUUUUCGGAGUUACCGGGAAUGACGAAUGGGUUCCGGGAGUUCACCGGGGGGGGCAACCCACCCCGGGGAAGCCCAUAGGCCUUGAGGGUGGCACACCAGCCCUUAGUGGGCUGGUGGGACAGCCCAAAAGGGCCCUAUGCGCCAAGAAAAAAAAAUCAAGAGAGAAAAAAAAAAGGAGGAGGUGGGAAGGAAGGGGGACUCCCUCCCACCAAACCAAGUCCAACUCGGUUUGGGGGGAGUCCUCCCCCCUUGGACUCGGCCGACCCCCUUGGGGCUCCUUGAGCCCCAAGGCAAGGUCCCCUCCCUCCCACCUAUAUAUACGGAGGUUUAGGGCUGAUUUGAGACGACUUUUCCACGGCAGCCCGACCACAUACCUCCACGGUUUUUCCUCUAGAUCGCGUUUCUGCGGAGCUCGGGCGGAGCCCUGCUGAGACAAGGUCAUCACCAACCUCCGGAGCGCCGUCACGCUGCCGGAGAACUCUUCUACCUCUCCGUCUCUCUUGCUGGAUCAAGAAGGCCGAGAUCAUCGUCAAGCUGUACGUGUGCUGAACGCGGAGGUGCCGUCCGUUCGGUACUAGAUCGUGGGACUGAUCGCGGGAUUGUUCGCGGGGCGGAUCGAGGGACGUGAGGACGUUCCACUACAUCAACCGUGUUCACUAACGCUUCUGCUGUACGAUCUACAAGGGUACGUAGAUCACUCAUCCCCUCUUGUAGAUGGACAUCACCAUGAUAGGUCUUCGUGCGCGUAGGAAAAUUUUUGUUUCCCAUGCGACGUUCCCCAACACUGACAUGUUCGAGAAGAUGCAAUCUGAUGGUCGUAGGUGACAUGAACGGCGAGGAAUUCUCUGUUCUGUGUCGUUGGAUUUCCAUUUGCUUAAAGUUUUUUUUAUUUAGCUAUUCCGUGCUUGCUGAAAUUCUCAUAUGAUGCAUGCGUUCAUGGAUGAAAAUGUGGAUUAAUUGAUAAAUUCAAUGAAGAGUAUACAGGGUGAAGAAUGUUUUAUAAGAUACGAUCCUUCUUGCCAUGGGCUCUUAGUGUGCAUUGGUAAAAGCACACACUUUGUUAGAUUCUAUGUGAUAGAUUUUGUUCAUAUAAUUCUUAACUAAUCACGGAUCCAGUAGCGUUAGUAUCUACGAGAUCAGUACAUGAAAAGCAAUUAAUGGAUGCCAUUCGAGUUGAGAAGAUGUUAAUUCAUGAUACAUUGGUUGAUAUUGUGUGCACCCCAACCCAGGUCACCAUUUUUGACUGAUUCCUCACACUUGGUAAACAUGCAAAUAAACCUUCCACCAUUAGGUGUCAAGAACAUAUGUAUUACUGUAUAUGCAAGGAUUUGAUGGGGAAAACUAUCUUCAGAAAAAGUGGGCCAAUGCUAAUUUUAAGAGAGCUGAAGUGAUGCAUAGAGCAAGAGAGAGGAGCAAUACUUCCACUCCUGAGAAUCUACAACAAAGAAUUAGAAGGGGCCAGUAACUAAGCAUGCAUGUGAUUAGUGAUUCAAUUGAAAAUAGUGUUAUACGUACAUCUUAAUGAAGUUAAGAUUGUCUGAUGAUGUGUAUGUUGAUGUCCAUCUUUAAAUCUGAGAACUAAGGGUUCUAUUCUUUUAACCAAGAAGCAGUUUAAGUAGCAAGUUUUCUCGUUUGUUGGUUGUACAACACUAACACUAAUUGACAGCCAGCCAUGACCAUCGAUUUUAUUUUAUUUUUAGUUUCCUACUAUUUUUCUAGCUAAGUGAAAUAUAUCUGAAGCUAUAUAUUUACACCUGGCGCAAUGCACGAGCCCAUUGCAAUGUUGUUUUUAAUGGUAGUUUAUUUCAACUGUCUAAGCCUAUAUUUAUUUUUUUACACCCGAUACAACGCACGGGCCCUUUUGUCCUUUUUUUUACUGAGAAAACGUUUCGUUUUUGACAGGAAAACCCCCUAUCCAAUUCAGAUCCAGACCAUGUUCAUCCCCUUCCUCUGCGGAGACGGCUACGGUGCGGCGGCGCGGGAGGAUGGAGGACGCGCCGGCGACGCUCCGGCAAGGCGUGGGGCAGGCGAAUCCGUGGCGGAUGGAGGCCCGCUGGUUCUCUUGUGGGCUGGCUGCAGUCAACGUGAGCUAGCAACGGCGAAGCAGCAAGGGACGCCGACGGGAUCGACCAUGCUCAGGGCUGCCUGAACUGUCGGUCUCGGCGGCAAGGACGACCCCACCAGCAGACCUGGGUCGAGGUAGAAGGGAGCCGGUGCUCCGGUGGCUAGAGGCAUGUCGCGGCUGCGCGGAGCGUCGAAUGGACGCCGGAGGGAGGAGGCUCGAGGGACAGCGGCACUGCGCUAGGACGCCGCAUCAGGCGGUGGUAGUGAGGCAGGAGGCACACAAAGAUGAAGGUGGAGA